GAGGAUCACUAUUGUUUGCUGUAAAGCGAUACCCGUGCGUAUAUACCUUUUAUACCAUUGAAACACCAUAAUCUAUAUCAACAACUUUAACUAAUAUCAAAAUUUUUAACAACGGAUCUCUUGGUUCUCGCAACGAUGAAGAACGCAGCGAAUUGCGAUAAGUAUUGUGAAUUGCAGAUUUUCGUGAAUCAUCGAAUCUUUGAACGCACAUUGCGCUCUCUGGUAUUCCGGAGAGCAUGCCUGUUUGAGCGUCAUUUCCUUCUUAAGCUGUAAAGUUUAGUGUUGGGGUGUGCAAGCGCAGCUUUGUGCUGAUGCUGCAGCCCUAAAAUAGUGACGGCUGAUAGAAGAGCUGUGUUUGAUGUCUAGGAAUAUUCAUUGAGCUGCCUCUUCUCUACGCUGCAACAACACCAAAGAUUGACCUCAAAUCAGGUAGGACUACCCGCUGAACUUAA
rnacentral:rRNA from 1 species